rnacentral:lncRNA from 1 species
GUCCUAGAUCUCUGAGCCCACAGCUCUGGCAAGACGUGGGCACCAGCGUGGAUGACUUCAGCUUAUAUUUUCUAAAGGUCACUCUGAAUCCUGCGGGCUCUUGGUAAAUAUUUGUGGACUGACUCAAACAAGGAGCUCAGCUCUGCUGCAGUGCAUGUGAGCCCGAGGACUGGGGUGGUGGCGGCGGCGGCGGGUCGGAGGGUGCUCUGAGGACCAGAUGUAAGCAGAAGGGAUUUGAGGGGGUGUCCUCAGACAGCAGGAGGGUGCUCAGGUGUGGACCCCUGCCUUUCCUGGGCAUUAGGUGGGCUCUGUGUGCUUCUUGUCUCAGAAGCCUUUGGCUGGUGUCCUGGGCGUGUGAAGAACUUCAGCCAGACUUCAGGCCGUGACUUGCAGAAUGCAACAGAGAUGGUAUCAGCCCCCAUCCAAAGCUCCCAGGGCUGUGUUUCUGAUUUAUCCCCGUACUUUGCUGAGCACUUAGCCUGGCCCUGGCCCUAGGGUCUUGGAUUCCCGGCUUCUUUGUCCCUCCCCUUCCCGGACCUUUCCCUGAGCUCACCUUUCUGACACCAUUUCCUCUUUUCUCAGCCCCCAGUUCUCUGUGCCCAGAGGUGCUCUGGCAGGAGGUAGGAACUGUAGCCCAGCAGACAGGCUUCGUUUACCCUGGGGGUUCAGUAACCUCCAUGACCCCUCUGGUGCUUGCUCACAAACGGCCCUGCUUCCUAUAGUCCUUGAAUUGCAUGUCCUUUCCCAGCCUCCCCCCUAGGAACCAGUUCCUGUAGGGCCAUCUGCUGGUGUCGUAUUUCCCUUCCCCCUCCUCUGGGACCAGCACACAGGUCACUCUUCAAUGAGAACAUCCUCAGGCUAGGACCUGCUUGCCACCACAGGGACCCCAGCUUGCUCCACACGGGCUCACUAGGCUGUCCUUGAGCCUUCUACAACCUGGCUUUGGUCUGAGUGCCAUCCUUGAGCAAUCACAGAGGUUGGCCCGGCUUCUGCCAGCUGCACAGUGGGUGGCGUGACACCCCCUUGCUGAUCUUGACCUUGUAUAGGAGGGCCGUGCUCAUUGGCUUAGGGUGUCUGUGACCAUUACUGAAACCACCCAAAUGCCUGUGACCUGGCAGGUGGCAGGAAACCGAGAGGUCUUAGAGACCUCUUUAGUCUUUCUGUUGUAAAUCGUAUUUAUGUAAAAUAAUUUAAACUGGGACCAAGCUCCGAGGUAUUUAAUCCCAGCACUCAGGAGACAGAGGCAGGCAAAUCUCUGUGAGUUUGAAGCCAGCCUGGUCUGCAGAACAAGUUCUAAGACAGCAGGGGCUACAAGGAGAACCCCUGUUUUUGUUAAGGGGGAGGGUCAACGGGUUCUCUAGUACUAGGGUGCUUAUGCAGCAGUCACGGGGCCCUGGGCUUGCUCCCAGGCAUUAAAAGGACAGAAGACUAGGUGAGGGCUCGGUGAGUGGGGAAUGAGGGCAGCUGGGAAGAGGAAGGUGCGCAGUGCAAGGCCAGGGGCUGAGACAGCAGCUUCCGUGGGAACCGGGUGGAACACAUGAGGUGACUGUCCUCAAGCCCUGCCCACCUCUGGAUUUCCCCAAACAGUCCUCCUGGCUUUGAACAUUGGGACUGAGUUGACAUUUUACAGAAAAACAAACAGUUUCCAAAGCAGAAUCCAUUUCAUGGUCCUGGAUCCUGGGGUUCUCAUAUACCUGGAACCCAGGGGCACGGGGAAGGUUCUGGCCAUCAAGAGUGCAUGUUCUUGAGUAGGGCUUCUGUCCCUGGAGGUACAUUCCGUUCCAGGCGCCACAACUGGGCUGGGCCGGGCCUCAAGUGCUGACUCACGAUGCCUGCAGCCCAACAGAAAGAGAGGGCUCAGCUGCCCCCUGCUGGUCACAGCUGGACCUGCUGUUCUGCAGGCUCAGAAAUGACUCUCCACCCCUAGGCACUGGACUUGGGGGUGGGGGGAAGGAUCUGAACCCAGGUACAGUCCUGGACUGGGUGGAGUGCCAGAGACUUCUGAAGGGCUUCCCAGUCAGGGACAAGGACGGGUAGUGAGAAUCUGCCCUGAGAUUUACUCUUCCCUCGGGUCCAGGCUGCUCUGGUUUGCAAGGCUCCAUCCAGGUCAAACUCAGGCUUUCCUCAUGGCCUCUCGGUUCCAGUUACCUUAAAGCUAUCACCCCAGAACUCAGGAGGCUGACAGAACCAAGGGUUUAAGGCGAGUAUUGGUAACUUAUCGAGACCCCCAUCUCAAAAGUAAGGGACAGGAGCUGGAGAGAUGGCUCAGUGCACUGGCUGCUCUUCCAGAGGUCCUGGAUUCAAUUCCCAGCAACCUCAUGGUGGCUCACAACCAUCUGUAAUAGAACCGAUGCCCUCUUCUGGUGUGUCUAAAGACAGGGACAGUGUACUCACAUAUAUGAAGUAAAUAAAUAAAUCUUAAAUAAUGAAAAAGA